rnacentral:lncRNA from 1 species
GAAAACGAAAUCAUUUCAUACGAACGAUUUUCAUCAUAUUACUCGUGAACUUGUUGUUAGCAAUCAUGUGAUGGCAUAUGGAUUUGUUUGUACCAAAAGAAAGUCCCCACCUAUAACCAGAGUCUCUUGGAGGGAGAGCGUGACAAGUGUGUAUAGAUCUAUACGGGGCUGACAACUCCGCACCCUGACUGUUAGCUACAGUCCGUCAUUGGGGUGACAAAUGUCAACAUUAGGUACUGCGUCUAGUAUGGUUAUGAGGAACUCACAACACGCGGAAACAAUGACUCAUGCACGUAGUAAUACAUAACUCAAUCAUGUUUGGGGGGUAAUAACUGCAUUCUUGGGUAUUAUCGGCAUGAUCAAAACUCAGGUCAAAACACUUCCACAACUAGUUUUACUUAACAAUAAGACUGCACUUCACUUUUAGGAAAAUAAGGGAUUUUCCUGUAUCAAAUACAUUCAUUUUGUACAAUACCGAUUUACAACAUCAUUUUUUUGAGCAUGUCAUAGUUUUUUAUAGCUUACGGUCUUGGUCAUUUGAGACUGCAUUUCACUUUUAGGAAAAUAAGGGAUUUUCCUAGGUCAAAUACAUAUAGUACAUACAACAAACUUUCAAACUCAUUUCAUACAUCAAGUAGAAAAUAAGGGAUUUUCUGGAAAACAUACACGCACUUUCGAAUGGCAUACAUUUUCUCAAAACACCACUUAUGAACUCACCAACUUAAAUGUUGACACUUUUUCUUUGAAAUAACUUGUAUUCUCAGGAAACCGCUGGACCAGGUAGCAACUACUUUUGAAGACUAACGCGCUGGUGUUAGUAACGUAUUUUGGAUCACCAUAUUGUAUUUGAUGUCUUUUGCAAACAUGUAACACAUACUAUUAUGUAAACUUUUCAAAUAUAUUUAUAUAUGGUGGUGUGUGCUUUCCUUUCUAUGAACUGUUAUGAUACUGAAUAUGACGUCAUCUGCCCCCGAACGUUUCCGCCGUUUUGGUUUGGGGGUGUGACAGAUUGGUAUCAGAGCAUUGUUUAUAGUGAAUUAAGUAUAUCAAAACCAUUUUGGUAUACAACUAUAAACACAACUGGGCAAAAACACUCUGAGUAAGAGUCAUACUUUUAAAAAUUAAAUUUAUUUAGUUUUUGUAAAGUAGGCAUGCAUUCAUUUCAUAUUAAUAACAUGGUCAGUAUCAUAAUUAAAACAAUAUAGAAGUAUUAUAAAUAAGUUGUGCAGUGCAGGUAUGCCUUGGGACAUGUAAUCGGAACUGGGAAGAAUAUAGCCUGAUCAACUAUAUUUGUCCAAGAGCCGACUAACGUAUGCCAAGGAGUGUCUGCAAUGGACAACAAAUUUAAAACUUACCAAACUUAUAAACUUUAGAAUCAAACAUAACAUUUAGAAUACUAUAGGAGUAUUUUAUGCAUACGAUAGUUUAACUUUGAUGUCAACCUUAUGUGCCUUAGUUCUAGACAAUCCUUAUCUCCCUAUUCUCGUACAAACACAAUGGCCGGAUUUCCACCUAGCAGGAGACCCCUACUACCCAAACCGUACAAUCAUUAAAAUACUUAUUGUCUUCAUUGUUAUUUCUUUGGCAGCGAUGCCGCCUCGUAGAUCUGCUUGUCGCAUCAACAACGCAACACCUACGCCGCCACCACCACCCCCACAAUAUGAUCCUGUCAUGGUUCAGGCUGCUAUCACUGCAGUAGUAGCAGCUGCUCUUACGCAGAUAAACACUAACGGAGCUGCUGGAACUGGAAGUAGUACCAACCACUUGAAUCAUGGCACUGGCCAUGGUUAUAUCAGAGAAUGCACAUACAAGGAAUUUUCAAAUGCAAAGCCAAAAACUUUCAACGGGGUAGGAGGAGUCAUUGCACUUAUGAAAUGGUUCGAGAAGACUGAAACGGUCUUCGAGAUAUGUGCAUGCCCAGAGACCAACAAAGUCAAGUUCGCCGCUUGCACUUUCUCUGAUCGAGCCCUCACCUGGUGGAAGGGACAUGUGGAAGUCCUAUCUCACCCAGUUGCUAAUGCCAUGAGCUGGGAAGAUCUCAAAAUCUUGAUGCUGGAAGAAUACUGCCCGAGGGGUGAAAUCCAAAAAUUAGAGCAUGAGCUAUGUAACCUAAGGAUGACCGGAUCGGACGUAAUCGCUUACACGGCUAGGUUCAGUGAUUUGUCAGCCUUGUGCCCAAGUAUGGUAAACCCGGAAUCGAAGAAGGUGGAGAGGUACAUUUGGGGAUUAUCACCCCAGAUCCAAGGGCAUGUCCUGGCCUCUAACCCAGUCACGUUUGACAGCGCGAAGCGCUUGGCUCAACGAUUGAUUGAUCACGGUGUUAAACAGGGUACUAUUACCGCUGUCUCGGAGCCACCGAAGGAUAUAGAGGACCGAAGGAAACCCUGGGAUAAGAGGAAGGGGGAAACCAUGCAAGAGAACCCCAAGAGGCAACAGUUAGUGACAGCUCAUUCUGUUACUAUCCCUACCACCCCUACACCCACAAGGUCGUACAACGGCAACCAGCCUAAGUGCAACCGAUGCAACUUUCAUCAUCACGGACCCUGUCGUGAAAUGCAUUGCAUUAGGUGCAAUAGUAAGGGACACACCGUCCGCUACUGCAGGGAAAUAGCCCAACCAACCGCUCCAGCCGCAAAUGUGGGAGUAGACCGUACUUGUUAUGAGUGCGGAGCAACGGGACACUUCCGACGGAACUGCCCGAAGGCAAACAACAAGAAUGCUAGUGGAGGAGGCCGAGUAUUCGCAAUGGGCCAAGAGGAGGCUAUUGCAGACCCCACGGUUAUUCUGGGUACAUUUCUCCUUGAUAACUUAUUUGCAUACAUUCCAUUUUGAUAGUAGGAACGCAGAAGAGUUCCGUGAGUCGCAAGUUUAAAAAUCUACUCGAAUAAACACCCCAAUCAUUAAACAAAACUUUCAUAGUAGUAAUAAUAGAGAUAGACUAAAAAGCACUGAGAACACAUACGUAGAAUGCACUAUCCCACUAACGAACGUCUUACAAUGAGAAGUACCGACGUCGGCAUUCGACGUGGAUUGGUGUGGCCCUACCCAUACCAGUAGACCCUUUCACUUUAACCAUCGACUAACGAAACUCGAUCGAUUUAUCACGACAAACCCGACACUAACCCCAAUUGGUUUCUAGUUUCAAAACCCCGAGGUACUCAUGUGAGGAGUACUAUAUCUUUACAACCUUCCCGUAGUAUCCCCCAACAGAUCAUUUAGAAAUACCACACAUACAACGAGUCAAAUCCAAGCUCAGAAACUAGGAGUGAAUUCAACCAUGAACUUCAAAACGUAGCUGCUCUAAUGCAUCGAGUGAUUAUGCUAACAUUUAGAAGAACAUAAGUAAAUAAACCCAAAACCACAUGAUCCCGAUCAGUCGAAGUGAUAGGCGGAGUAAUGAAGGUCCGCUGAAACACGCACAUUAGGAUCUAGAUUCAUAAAGGAACAAGAGGAACAAAUGGACCAUAAGCACUCACGCCUGCCCACAAGUAUUAGAGUCCCAGUCAAAAUGCGAAUUUCGGGACGAAAUUCUCUCUAACGGAGGGAUAAUGUAACAACAGCAAAAAUUCAGGUCAAAAUUUAAACUUUUAUAAAACCGUAAUUAAGUAUACUAAGUGGUAGAUAUUGUAACAAGGUUUUCAUACAUAUAAAGAACGCUAAAAUCCGAGUUAGAACGAAGAAGUUAUGACCAUUCUAGGUUUUCCGACAAAAACCGACAAUAUGAAGUUACGUAAAAACUCGAAUCGGAGAUCGAGCGACUUUUGGCCGGAAUGACCUAAACGAGAAUCAAAGGUCUCGUCAAUGGUAUUUCAGCAGUAAAAAGUCUAGCAAAAACCGACGUCAGAUAAAGAAGUUAUGAAUUUUUAAAGAAAUUCCUUAAUCACGUCAUUUUAAUAAAUAAAUAUUAAAAAUAAUUUCGGAAUUUGCCGACGGAGUCUAAACGAAAGUUGUAGAUCGUAAUCUCACCUUCGCAUGGAUAUAAAGAACGUCAAAAACGGAGUUCGUAUGAAGGAGAUAUGAAUUUUUGAAGUUUAUUUAAAAUAAAUAUAAAUUUAAAUAUAAACCUCCGGUAUUAUCCGAAGAACGAGUCAGCGGUCCGAUCCUUCGUACGCCCUGUGUACCCUCGUACGCCCCGCAUACUCAAAUCAAGGGCUCUGAACUGUCCACGUCGCUCCGAUGUUUCUUCCGAGGAUGCGGUAAGCCAUGACGUCUCGUACGCCCUGCGUACGAGCAUACGCCCGGCGUACGCGAGGCUUCCAGGCCCUAUAAAAGGGGUGCGAUGGUUUCCGAAAAACUUGCUCAUUUCUCCUCCUUUCUCUUGCGUUUUGCCUCGUUUUCCGUGCCCGUUCAAACCCGAAGCCCUGGUCAUUUUGCUCAAGUCCCUAAGGUCGAUUUUACUCCCGAGAUUCCCAAGAAUCCCGAGAAAAAUCCGUUUCCCAAGACGAAACUCUGCCCGGUUUUCUGCUCGCUUUCUUCAAACUUUCAAGUGAGUUCAUACCCCUGCAAACACACUUUAAAUACGUUUUUAAAUGCUUUUUAUACUCUUUUAGGGGGGGAAUACAAGUAAACACACGACUAAAAUCGUGUGAAAUAUCGAUCCUUUGAUAUAUUUUUCAUACUGUUGUUUUAACUGUCUUAUGAAGUUAUUAUCAUGCAAAACACCUCACAACACAGCUUUACCCUCUUGGGAUACAAUAUGUUUUAUAAAUAGAAAUAGGUUUUAUUUAUACGUUUGCAUACUACAUCAUAUCAAGAGUAACCAUUUCAAUUAUAACAUGAUGCUUUUACAAGAAAACUCAACUCAUCAUCACGUUUUUGUAACACGGUAGAAAACGAAAUCAUUUCAUACGAACGAUUUUCAUCAUAUUACUCGUGAACUUGUUGUUAGCAAUCAUGUGAUGGCAUAUGGAUUUGUUUGUACCAAAAGAAAGUCCCCACCUAUAACCAGAGUCUCUUGGAGGGAGAGCGUGACAAGUGUGUAUAGAUCUAUACGGGGCUGACAACUCCGCACCCUGACUGUUAGCUACAGUCCGUCAUUGGGGUGACAAAUGUCAACAUUAGGUACUGCGUCUAGUAUGGUUAUGAGGAACUCACAACACGCGGAAACAAUGACUCAUGGACGUAGUAAUACAUAACUCAAUCAUGCUUGGGGGGUAAUAACUACAUUCUAGGGUAUUAUCAGCAUGACCAAAACUCAGGUUAAAACACUUCCACAACUAGUUUUACUUAACAAUAAGACUGCACUUCACUUUUAGGAAAAUAAGGUAGUUUCCU